AUUGAACGCUAGCGGGAUGCUUUACACAUGCAAGUCGAACGAGUGGCGGACGGGUGAGUAAUAUAUCGGAACGUGCCCAGUAGAGGGGGAUAACUACUCGAAAGAGUGGCCAAUACCGCAUACAAUUGCCGCGGCCGAUUUCGGAUUAGCUAGUUGGGGGGGUAAAGGCGUACCAAGGCAACGACCCGUAGCUGGUUGGAGAGGACGACCAGCCACACUGGGACUGAGACACGGCCCAGACUCCUACGGGAGGCAGCAGUGGGGAAUUUUGGACAAUGGGGGAAACCCUGAUCCAGCCAUCCCGCGUGUAUGAGAAGGCCUUCGGGUUGUAAAGUACUUUUGGCAGGGAAGCGGUAUCUGCAGAAUAAGCACCGGCUAACUACGUGCCAGCAGCCGCGGUAAUUC
rnacentral:rRNA from 1 species